rnacentral:lncRNA from 1 species
UUGUUCUGUUUUGUUUUGCUUAGUUUAAGCAUCUACACCCCCAAAGCAAUUCUUUUUCAGGUUUUUCCAUACAAAUCAUCGGCUUCAGCCCUGCCUUGGCCUCCAACACUGGGGAUUACAAUUCAACAUGAGAUUUGGGCAGGGACACAAAUCCGGACCAUAUCAGGAAGCUUGGAAUGAAUGCUCAAAGUAGCCACUUGGGUGAAGAAUGACACCCCAGGGAACUUCUCAAGUAAUAGCUUGGUCAUUCACCACCUCCCUAGAUUGGUGAUGGCUAAUAAUGAGUCAGAUAUGCAAGUUUGGGGCAGAGCUGAAUUCCUUAGCAUGGUAGUCCAAGGGCUUCUACCAGAGCACCUUCCCUACCCCUCACCCCAAUGCCUUCUCUGAGUCACACAAAUAUUAAA